rnacentral:rRNA from 1 species
AUUGAACGCUGGCGGCAGGCUUAACACAUGCAAGUCGAGCGGGGUGAUGGUGCUUGCACUAUCACUUAGCGGCGGACGGGUGAGUAAUGCUUAGGAAUCUGCCUAUUAGUGGGGGACAACAUCUCGAAAGGGAUGCUAAUACCGCAUACGUCCUACGAGAGGAAGCAGGGGAUCACUUGUGACCUUGCGCUAAUAGAUGAGCCUAAGGCGGAUUAGCUAGUUGGUGGGGUAAAGGCCUACCAAGGCGACGAUCUGUAGCGGGUCUGAGAGGAUGAUCCGCCACACUGGGACUGAGACACGGCCCAGACUCCUACGGGAGGCAGCAGUGGGGAAUAUUGGACAAUGGGGGGAACCCUGAUCCAGCCAUGCCGCGUGUGUGAAGAAGGCCUUAUGGUUGUAAAGCACUUUAAGCGAGGAGGAGGCUCUUUUGGUUAAUACCCAAGAUGAGUGGACGUUACUCGCAGAAUAAGCACCGGCUAACUCUGUGCCAGCCGCCGCUGUAA